GAGACUCAAAGAUGAGCUGAGAGAUUUUCCUUCAAAAUGGAGGACACUGUCACAAACAUGAGAGGUUAAAGAAGGCUGACUUGGAAGAGGAAAAAGGCCCAAGUCAUUCCUGACUCUCAUCUGGGAAACUCUUCAGAGACAUGCAGAGGAUGUACUGAUUGCUCUGACCUCCUCUCGUAAACAGGCAUUCUACUGGAACGUGUAAGAUAAUUUUUGCCAUCUGUCAUUUUCUUCUUCUUGAGAAAGGAGGAGAAUUACUGAGAAACAAGAAAAUGGUUUCUAGAAGAAAAUUCAGGACCUAGAAACAGUUAAUAUAAGUUGUAUCCUUGGGAAUUUCCAAGCAUACCAAAUGACUACCAGGCAAGAGAAUGUUAAGCUAUACCAGACAAUUUAAUCACCUGCAUCCAGGAUAUGAAAUCCAGAAGUUUCAAUACUAUUAGCAGACUCUGACCAUCAGAAUUUUUUUUUUUUUAUACAACUUACAUUUCUCUCAUGAGAGUUUAAGUCUGCUUCCUUGUCUUAUACUCAGGGAAGAUGAAAGGCAGGUAACAUAUCCUGUAAAAUAAUUAACUGUAAGGUUGUUAAGUUAUUCUCCUGCCUUUGCUAUUGCAGUUUAAGUAAACAGUAAAUUAGUUUAAACUUUUCCUACAUCAUUACUUUAGUUAAUGAAUUCUAUUUCUUAGAGC
rnacentral:lncRNA from 1 species